rnacentral:lncRNA from 1 species
CUCAACGUUCUCUCUUUUAUCUGGUGCACACGUGACACGUACACUCUCUAGAAAUCUCCCACGUCUCUCUCUCUCGGCGUGCUCCAAUUGAACUCUCACGCAUAGCGCAUAGCACUCGCCUUCGCCUUGUACCUUGUGCUCAACUCCCAGAUACUGAGCCCGGACGCGAGCUCCCUUCUCACGCUGGCUUGGGCGCUGCUGCUGCUCUUCCGUGCCUUGAGCUGCUUCCUCACGCGCUCGACCGACCAUCUGUCGCUGCUCCAUCGCACAUGUUCUAGCUCGCCGGCCUGGUACCGUCUUCCAACUCCACGCUUUGCCGUCCGCCGACCUCGCUGGUGAGGUGAGGGCCGACGUCGUCCUGCAGCUUCCACGCUGUGCCGACGCUCGUCGUGCAGCCUUGUUUGUUGUGCUUGCCGCAGUUCCCCAUCCAUGUUGUGAGCUGCAACGUACUCAUGGUUGUUAUCUCCUCGUCGGCCAUGCUCAACCUCGCAGCUCCUUCGCGUCGUCGAUUUCCUUGACCCACAGCCUCUCUUCCGACAUCGUCGUGCUCGUGGUGUCAUUGUAAAGCUGCUAGCUGCCAGUCUCGCUGGUACGUCGUCGAUUUUUAUAUGUUUGGAAUUGUCGGCCGUGUACUUAGUAUUUAUUAGUGUUGUCUUCUCAAGCAGUUCCUGAUACCCAGCAAGCCGUUGUGCUCGGCAUACUUUCUCUAUGUGGUUCUCUCGCUUCAUCGGCUUUCCGCGUGUUAGAGCAGGUAUGGUUCGGAUAUAUACGUAAAUGCGGGAGAAAGUUCGAGAAAAAUGGGCAUCUAAUGUGUUCGUGUAAAAUAAAGUUGCUUAGCAUGUUUUGGAUGGUUAGAUGAGUUCUAAGGAUAAGUAGCUCCCUGGUAGUUAUGGCUUGUGGUGAUAGCUUAUAAUUGUAAUUUCGUAAUGCUUCGUAAUGCCUUCCUUGUUAGUAGCUUAGACACAGGCAUUCAUAAUCAUGGCAUUUCAUGUAGAGUACCAAGAAGAAGUGAUUUGUCAAGAAAGGAGCAUGUUCUAGUUCUGCUGAUCCAG